CUUCCGCAGCAAUGGGCCAUGUGACGCCUUCAUAUCAUACGGCCACGUCGUUGGCGAGAUUUUUAAUUUGCAUGGCUCCAGUAAUGGUGUCAUUACCUGGAUCCAAUGAAAUCUCAAUCGAUCAACCCGCAAUUCUUCAAGUACUUAGUCCAAUAAAUGCCACAGAAGAAA